UACGGAAUGUGCAAACGUUAUUCGGAAUCACUGGGCUUAAAGAGUCCGUAGGCGGCAUGUUAGGUGAGGUGUGAAAUCCCACGGCCCAACCGUGGAACUGCGCUUCAAACCGGCGUGCUUGAGGAAGAUAGAGGUGGGCGGAACUGAUGGUGGAGCGGUGAAAUGCGUUGAUAUCAUCAGGAACACCGGAGGCGAAGGCGGCCCACUGGGUCUUUUCUGACGCUGAGGGACGAAAGCUAGGGGAGCGGACGGG
rnacentral:rRNA from 1 species